GAUGAAGAACGCAGCAAAAUGCGAUAAGUAAUGUGAAUUGCAGAAUUCAGUGAAUCAUCGAAUCUUUGAACGCACAUUGCGCCCGCUGGUAUUCCGGUGGGCAUGCCUGUUCGAGCGUCAUUUCAACCCUCAAGCCCCCGGGUUUGGUGUUGGGGAUCGGCUCUGCCCUUCUGGGCGGUGCCGCCCCCGAAAUACAUUGGCGGUCUCGCUGCAGCCUCCAUUGCGUAGUAGCUAACACCUCGCAACUGGAACGCGGCGCGGCCAUGCCGUAAAACCCCAACUUCUGAAUGUUGACCUCGGAUCAGGUAGGAAUACCCGCUGAACUUAAGCAUAUCAAUAAGCGGAGGA
rnacentral:misc_RNA from 1 species